GGGAUUGUGGCUCAGUUGGUUAGAGCGUUGGUCUCAUAAAACUGUUGUGAUCCGAUUAGACAUCGGAGUCAUCCAAAGGUCGUGAGUUCGAGUCUCACCAGUCCCA